rnacentral:rRNA from 1 species
AGAUAAAAGGUGCCUGUACCGCAAACCGACACAGGUAGGCGAGGAGAGAAUCCUAAGGUGUGCGAGAGAACUCUGGUUAAGGAACUCGGCAAAAUGACCCCGUAACUUCGGGAGAAGGGGUGCUUUCUUAACGGAAAGCCGCAGUGAAUAGGCCCAAGCGACUGUUUAGCAAAAACACAGCUCUCUGCGAAGCCGUAAGGCGAAGUAUAGGGGGUGACACCUGCCCGGUGCUGGAAGGUUAAGGAGAGGGGUUAGCGUAAGCGAAGCUCUGAACUGAAGCCCCAGUAAACGGCGGCCGUAACUAUAACGGUCCUAAGGUAGCGAAAUUCCUUGUCGGGUAAGUUCCGACCCGCACGAAAGGUGUAACGAUUUGGGCACUGUCUCAACCAGAGACUCGGUGAAAUUAUAGUACCUGUGAAGAUGCAGGUUACCCGCGACAGGACGGAAAGACCCCGUGGAGCUUUACUGUAGCCUGAUAUUGAAUUUUGGUACAGUUUGUACAGGAUAGGCGGGAGCCAUUGAAACCGGAGCGCUAGCUUCGGUGGAGGCGCUGGUGGGAUACCGCCCUGACUGUAUUGAAAUUCUAACCUACGGGUCUUAUCGACCCGGGAGACAGUGUCAGGUGGGCAGUUUGACUGGGGCGGUCGCCUCCUAAAGUGUAACGGAGGCGCCCAAAGGUUCCCUCAGAAUGGUUGGAAAUCAUUCGUAGAGUGCAAAGGCAUAAGGGAGCUUGACUGCGAGACCUACAAGUCGAGCAGGGACGAAAGUCGGGCUUAGUGAUCCGGUGGUUCCGCAUGGAAGGGCCAUCGCUCAACGGAUAAAAGCUACCCCGGGGAUAACAGGCUUAUCUCCCCCAAGAGUCCACAUCGACGGGGAGGUUUGGCACCUCGAUGUCGGCUCAUCGCAUCCUGGGGCUGUAGUCGGUCCCAAGGGUUGGGCUGUUCGCCCAUUAAAGCGGUACGCGAGCUGGGUUCAGAACGUCGUGAGACAGUUCGGUCCCUAUCCGUCGUGGGCGUAGGAAAUUUGAGAGGAGCUGUCCUUAGUACGAGAGGACCGGGAUGGACGCACCGCUGGUGUACCAGUUGUUCUGCCAAGGGCAUAGCUGGGUAGCUAUGUGCGGAAGGGAUAAGUGCUGAAAGCAUCUAAGCAUGAAGCCCCCCUCAAGAUGAGAUUUCCCAUAGCGUAAGCUAGUAAGAUCCCUGAAAGAUGAUCAGGUUGAUAGGUUCGAGGUGGAAGCAUGGUGACAUGUGGAGCUGACGAAUACUAAUAGAUCGAGGACUUAACCAUAUAA